rnacentral:rRNA from 1 species
GUGGGGAAUCUUGCGCAAUGGGCGAAAGCCUGACGCAGCCAUGCCGCGUGGAUGAUGAAGGUCUUAGGAUUGUAAAAUCCUUUCACCGGUGAAGAUAAUGACUGUAGCCGGAGAAGAAGCCCCGGCUAACUUCGUGCCAGCAGCCGCGGUAAUACGAAGGGGGCUAGCGUUGCUCGGAAUUACUGGGCGUAAAGGGAGCGUAGGCGGACAUUUAAGUCAGGGGUGAAAUCCCGAGGCUCAACCUCGGAACUGCCUUUGAUACUGGGUGUCUUGAGUGUGAGAGAGGUGAGUGGAACUCCGAGUGUAGAGGUGAAAUUCGUAGAUAUUCGGAAGAACACCAGUGGCGAAGGCGACUCACUGGCUCAUUACUGACGCUGAGGCUCGAAAGCGUGGGGAGCAAACAGGAUUAGAAACCCGAGUAGUCC